AUUGAACGCUGGCGGCAGGCCUAACACAUGCAAGUCGAACGGUAACAGGAAGAAGCUUGCUUCUUUGCUGACGAGUGGCGGACGGGUGAGUAAUGUCUGGGAAGCUGCCUGAUGGAGGGGGAUAACUACUGGAAACGGUAGCUAAUACCGCAUAACGUCGCAAGACCAAAGAGGGGGACCUUCGGGCCUCUUGCCAUCGGAGUUGCCCAGAUGGGAUUAGCUAGUAGGUGGGGUAACGGCUCACCUAGGCGACGAUCCCUGGCUGGUCUGAGAGGAUGACCAGCCACACUGGAACUGAGACACGGUCCAGACUCCUACGGGAGGCAGCAGUGGGGAAUAUUGCACAAUGGGCGCAAGCCUGAUGCAGCCAUGCCGCGUGUAUGAAGAAGGCCUUCGGGUUGUAAAGUACUUUCAGCGGGGAGGAAGGGAGUAAAGUUAAUACCUUUGCUCAUUGACGUUACCCGCAGAAGAAGCACCGGCUAACUCCGUGCCAGCAGCCGCCGUAAGAC
rnacentral:rRNA from 1 species